AGUCUGGUGCCAGCAGCCGCGGUAAUUCCAGCUCUCAAGGUGUAUAUCGCCAUUGCUGCGGUUAAAAAGCUCGUAGUUGGAUCUGCGCCUUCGGACUCGGUCCUCCCAACGGGUGCGAACUGAGCUCCAAGGCUACUACUGCUGGUUUUCCCUUGAUGCUCUUCACUGGGUGUCUUGGGUGGCUAGCGAGUUUACUUUGAAAAAAUUAGAGUGCUCAAAACAGGCUAUUGCCUGAAUACCGGUGCAUGGGAUAAUAGAAUAGGAUCUCGGUCCUAUUUUGUUGGUUUUCGGAACUGAGAUAAUGGUUAAGAGGGACAGACGGGGGCAUUCGUAUCGCUGCGUGAGAGGUGAAAUUCUUGGACCGCAGCGAGACGCCCAACUGCGAAAGCAUUUGCCAAGAAUGUCUUCGUUAAUCAAGAACGAAAGUCAGAGGUUCGAAGGCGAUCAGAUACCGCCCUAGUUCUGACCGUAAACGAUGCCAACUAGCGAUCCGCCGGUGGUAAUUACGCCCCGGCGGGGAGCUUCCCGGAAACGAAAGUCUUCCGGUUCCGGGGGAAGUAUGGUUGCAAAGCUGAAACUUAAAGGAAUUGACGGAAGGGCACCACCAGGAGUGGAGCUUGCGGCUUAAUUUGACCCAACACGGGAAAACUCACCCGGCCCGGACACCGUAAGGAUUGACAGAUUGAGAGCUCUUUCUUGAUUCGGUGGUUGGUGGUGCAUGGCCGUUCUUAGUUGGUGGAGCGAUUUGUCUGGUUUAUUCCGAUAACGAACGAGACUCUGGCCUACUAACUAGUGACAGAAUUAUUGCUGUUCUGGUUACUUCUUAGAGGGACAAGUGGUGUUCAGCCACACGAAAUUGAGCAAUAACAGGUCUGUGAUGCCCUUAGAUGUCCGGGGCUGCACGCGUGCUACACUGGAGGAAACAGCAUGCAAAACCAUUGCCGAGAGGCAUUGGUAAACCCGAGAAAAUCUUCCGUGAUCGGGAUCGGGAAUUGCAAUUAUUUCCCUUGAACGAGGAAUUCCCAGUAAGUGUGGGUCAUCAGCUCGCGCUGAUUACGUCCCUGCCCUUUGUACACACCGCCCGUCGCUGCCCGGGACUGAGCCGUUUCGAGAAAAGCGGGGACUGCUGCUGUUGGGGCUUUCGGGCCUUGGCUUCGGUGGAAACCGCUU
rnacentral:rRNA from 1 species